AUACUCUGGUUUCUUCUCAGAUCAUAUCAAUUUUUUACCUUUUUUAAAUGUUUCCUUGGAGAAGAACACUUGUGAGUUUUAACCAAUUUUUUGGAGGCCUUGUGCUUGCAAGGCU